AUGUCCUGCUGCAACCCGGGCUUUCCUGACUUCACAGCUGUGGCCAUUCACAGGACAGUGAUGUUCUUGGGUGUCCUGUUUAAUGCCGCCAACCAGUAUCUUUUCCACAGUCACAUGGGCACCUGGUCUUUGAGAAUCUUCUCUUCAGACAGCUCUCGGUUUCCACAGCUCUUCCAUCUACCUGCUUUUUCUGCCUCCGCUGCCGCCGUGGCUCCCAUGAAAAAGCUUGUGGCGAAGGGGGGCAAAAAAAAGAAGCAGGUUCUGAAGUUCACUCUUGAUUGCACCCACCCUGUAGAAGAUGGAAUCAUGGAUGCUGCCAAUUUUGAGCAGUUUUUGCAAGAAAGGAUCAAAGUGAACGGAAAAGCCGGGAACCUUGGUGGAGGGGUGGUGACCAUCGAAAGGAGCAAGAGCAAGAUCACGGUGACGUCUGAGGUGCCUUUCUCCAAAAGGUAUUUGAAAUAUCUCACCAAAAAAUAUUUGAAGAAGAAUAAUCUAUGUGAUUGGUUGCGCGUAGUUGCUAACAGCAAAGAGAGUUACGAAUUACAUUACUUCCAGAUUAACCAGGACGAAGAAGGGGAGGAAGACGAGGAUUAAAUUUCAUUUAUUUGGAAAUUUUGUAUGUGUUCUCGAAUAAAACUUAGGAACCAAAAAAAAAAAA